GAUGAACGCUAGCUACAGGCUUAACACAUGCAAGUCGAGGGGAAACGACAUCGAAAGCUUGCUUUUGAUGGGCGUCGACCGGCGCACGGGUGAGUAACGCGUAUCCAACCUGCCCGUUGCUAAGGGGAUAACCUUGCGAAAGUAAGACUAAUACCCUAUGAUGUUCUUCGCAGACAUCUAAAGAGAACCAAAGAUUUAUCGGCAACGGAUGGGGAUGCGUCUGAUUAGGUUGUUGGCGGGGUAACGGCCCACCAAGCCCACGAUCAGUAGGGGUUCUGAGAGGAAGGUCCCCCANAUUGGAACUGACGACACGGUUCCAAAACUCCUACGGGAGGCAGCAGUGAGGAAUAUUGGUCAAUUGGACCGAGAGUCUGAACCAGCCAAGUAGCGUGCAGGAUGACGGCCCUAUGGGUUGUAAACUGCUUUUAUAAGGGAAUAAAGUGGGUCACGUGUGACUUUUUGCAUGUACCUUAUGAAUAAGGACCGGCUAAUUCCGUG
rnacentral:rRNA from 1 species